ACAUCCAAAACGAGGCUUGAACUCAUGACCCUGAGAUCGAGAGUUGGAUGCUUCACCAACUGAGCCAGCUAGGGCAUCCCUGAAACUCAUUAUUUUUAAGUCGUAUUUUCAGAGGUUCAGGUGCAUGUGUGUAUUACAAAAAACACUAGAGCAGCAGCCAGUUAGAUAAUGUAAUUAAAAGGAAAAGAUACUAUUCACAGUAGCAGUGAAAGCUGUAAAGUAUUUAGUAAUUAAGUAACAUACAAAUAUCCUGUGUUUGUUUUAGUAGGUGGUGUUGGUAAACUGGCUUUUUACAUGGAGAAAAACAGGAUACCUAACUCGGAUCAUGUCCAAAGAUGGUCUCUCAAUGGACUAAAGGUCUUAAAUGUGAAAGUGGGAAGAGUAGGGGAUCAAAAAUUCAUCAUCUCGGAGAUAAAAGCAUAUCCUUCAGUGAGCUGUGGCUGAGGUAAGAUGUAGAAAUGAGCCCCACACCCCAAAACAGGACAAGUCCAGAAGGCCAGUAAGUGAUCAAGUCCUGGUCUCCUGCCCACCUUCUCCUCCUGUGUAGCCUGACCUGCAGCCCUGAGGAAACCUGUAUCCCUGGCCUGAAGCGA